rnacentral:tRNA from 1 species
GGGCUAUGGCUCAGCAGUAGAGCGCCUUGUUUACAUAUGACCGAGAGUGUCUACGAUUCGAAUCCGUAUAAUCCUA